UGAGGAAUAUUGGUCAAUGGAGGCAACUCUGAACCAGCCAUGCCGCGUGCAGGAUUAAGCAUCUAUGGUGUGUAAACUGCUUUUAUACGGGAAGAAAACAUACUACGCGUAGUAAAUUGACGGUACCGUAAGAAUAAGGACCGGCUAACUCCGUGCCAGCAGCCGCGGUAAUACGGAGGGUCCAAGCGUUAUCCGGAAUCAUUGGGUUUAAAGGGUCCGUAGGCGGGUUAUUAAGUCAGUGGUGAAAGUUUUCAGCUUAACUGAAAAAUUGCCAUUGAUACUGGUAGCCUUGAAUUUUUGUGAAGUAACUAGAAUAUGUAGUGUAGCGGUGAAAUGCUUAGAUAUUACAUGGAAUACCAAUUGCGAAGGCAGGUUACUAACAAACGAUUGACGCUGAUGGACGAAAGCGUGGGUAGCGAGCAGG
rnacentral:rRNA from 2 species